GAUGAACGCUAGCGGCGGGCCUAAUACAUGCAAGUCGAACGGUGUCUUCGGACAUAGUGGCGCACGGGUGCGUAACACGUAUGCAACCUACCUUACAUUGGGGGAUAGCCUUUCGAAAGGGAGAUUAAUACCGCAUAAGACAGUAGCUGGGCAUCCAGCAGCUGUUAAAGGUUUUUCGAUGUAAGCUGGGCAUGCGUCCAAUUAGCUAGUUGGUGAGGUAACGGCUCACCAAGGCAAUGAUUGGUAGGGGAACUGAGAGGUCAAUCCCCCACACUGGCACUGCGAUACGGGCCAGACUCCUACGGGAGGCAGCAGUAGGGAAUAUUGGGCAAUGGACGCAAGUCUGACCCAGCCAUGCCGCGUGCAGGAUGAAGGCGUUAUGCGUUGUAAACUGCUUUUAUACAGGAAGAAACGACUCUUGCAAGAGGCAUUGACGGUACUGUAUGAAUAAGCACCGGCUAACUCCGUGCCAGCAGCCGCCGCGGUAA
rnacentral:rRNA from 1 species